AUUCCGGUUGAUCCUGCCGGAGGCCAUUGCUAUCGGAGUCCGAUUUAGCCAUGCUAGUCGCACGAGUUCAGACUCGUGGCAUAUAGCUCAGUAACACGUGGCCAAACUACCCUACAGACCGCAAUAACCUCGGGAAACUGAGGCCAAUAGCGGAUAUAACUCUCAGGCUGGAGUGCCGAGAGUUAGAAACGUUCCGGCGCUGUAGGAUGUGGCUGCGGCCGAUUAGGUAGAUGGUGGGGUAACGGCCCAC
rnacentral:rRNA from 1 species